CCUGGUGCAGUCCACUCCUUUCCCGUCUGUGAAGAGACAGAAGAUGGCUCUAGUUAAAAUGAGUUUCUUCCCUUGUUACUGCACUGACAAUGAUAAAAAAAGGAAAAUUUAACUCCCUCUUCUCUCCAAUUCCUCCUGGAACAUUAAAGCCUCGAUGGGAGAAGCCAUGCAGCAUGCACUGUACCUUGCCUACGCUGGCCAGCAGCUGGAGACCAGAGGGCUUUUCAUCUGGACUCAGCCAGAACUCAGCAUUGUCAUCUGCAGCAAUGGCAAACUGAAACUCCCCUGUUGAGAGACGGAGGGAGUAAGUAGAACUUUGAGGGCUUGAUGGAUGUCUGCAAGGCCAUGAUGCCCCCCACUAGCAUCUCCUCCUCUGCUGACAUCCCUCAGCCUGGAUUCUGCCCACCAGACAAGAGGAAAAGCAGCGAGACAACGUGGAUGGAAUUCCUCAGAGCAAUGCACAGAAUCAGAGUGGAGGACAGACAGAGGGCUCAGGGUGAUGGAGGCAGCCAAAAGAAACCUGGGACUCUGCAGGAACUUGUGAUACAAAUAAAUCACUACAAGCAUGACAAA